GAUGAACGCUGGCGGCGUGCCUAAUACAUGCAAGUCGAGCGAACGUACGAGAAGCUUGCUUCUCUGAUGUUAGCGGCGGACGGGUGAGUAACACGUGGAUAACCUACCUAUAAGACUGGGAUAACUUCGGGAAACCGGAGCUAAUACCGGAUAAUAUUUUGAACCGCAUGGUUCAAAAGUAAAAGACGGUCUUGCUGUCACUUAUAGAUGGAUCCGCGCUGCAUUAGCUAGUUGGUAAGGUAACGGCUUACCAAGGCAACGAUGCAUAGCCGACCUGAGAGGGUGAUCGGCCACACUGGAACUGAGACACGGUCCAGACUCCUACGGGAGGCAGCAGUAGGGAAUCUUCCGCAAUGGGCGAAAGCCUGACGGAGCAACGCCGCGUGAGUGAUGAAGGUCUUCGGAUCGUAAAACUCUGUUAUUAGGGAAGAACAUAUGUGUAAGUAACUGUGCACAUCUUGACGGUACCUAAUCAGAAAGCCACGGCUAACUACGUG
rnacentral:rRNA from 1 species